rnacentral:rRNA from 1 species
UCCUGGCUUAGGACGAACGCUGGCGGCGUGCCUAAUACAUGCAAGUCGAACGGUCUUUCUAUGGAAGCUUGCUUCCACUGAGAAGAUAGUGGCGAACGGGUGAGUAACACGUGGGUAACCUGCCCAUAAGAGGGGGAUAACAUCCGGAAACGGGUGCUAAUACCGCAUAGUUUUCUUGAUCGCAUGAUCGGGAAAGGAAAGACGGCCUUUGUGCUGUCGCUUAUGGAUGGACCCGCGGCGUAUUAGUUAGUUGGUGAGGUAACGGCUCACCAAGACGAUGAUACGUAGCCGACCUGAGAGGGUGAUCGGCCACAUUGGGACUGAGACACGGCCCAAACUCCUACGGGAGGCAGCAGUAGGGAAUCUUCCGCAAUGGACGAAAGUCUGACGGAGCAACGCCGCGUGAGUGAAAGAAGGUUUUCGGAUCGUAAAACUCUGUUGUCAGAGAAGAACAAGUUGGAGAGUAACUGCUCCAGCCUUGACGGUAUCUGACCAGAAAGCCACGGCUAACUACGUGCCAGCCGCCGC